CUACGUAGGGCGCAAGCGUUGUCCGGAAUUAUUGGGCGUAAAGAGCUCGUAGGUGGUUUGUUACGUCUGCUGUGAAAUCCUAGGGCUUAACCCUGGGCUUGCAGUGGAUACGGGCAGACUAGAGGUAGGUAGGGGAGAAUGGAAUUCCUGGUGUAGCGGUGAAAUGCGCAGAUAUCAGGAGGAACACCGGUGGCGAAGGCGGUUCUCUGGGCCUUACCUGACACUGAGGAGCGAAAGCGUGGGGAGCGAACAGG
rnacentral:rRNA from 1 species